rnacentral:rRNA from 1 species
UACGUAGGGUGCAAGCGUUGUCCGGAAUUAUUGGGCGUAAAGAGCUCGUAGGCGGUCUGUCGCGUCGGCUGUGAAAACCUGGGGCUCAACUCCGGGCCUGCAGCCGAUACGGGCAGACUAGAAUUCGGUAGGGGAGACUGGAAUUCCUGGUGUAGCGGUGAAAUGCGCAGAUAUCAGGAGGAACACCGGUGGCGAAGGCGGGCCUCUGGGCCGAUACUGACGCUGAGGAGCGAAAGCGUGGGGAGCGAACAGG